ACGGAGGGUGCGAGCGUUGUCCGGAAUCACUGGGCGUAAAGGGCGCGUAGGCGGUGCUGUAAGUCUGUGGUGAAAUCUCUGGGCUCAACUCAGAGUCUGCCAUAGAAACUGCAGUGCUGGAGUGUGGGAGAGGCAGGUGGAAUUCCCGGUGUAGCGGUGGAAUGCGUAGAGAUCGGGAAGAACAUCAGUGGCGAAGGCGGCCUGCUGGGCUGUUGCUGACGCUCAGGCGCGACAGCGUGGGGAUCAAACAGGA
rnacentral:rRNA from 1 species